AUGGUUGAAAGCAUAGUACUUAACAUAAAACUGGUUAAGUUUGUGAACUUUCACUACUUUGCUGAAAAAUCGCUGUGAUUGUGCAUUUCAUUUUGCAAAGAUUUAAACUUGUUUGAUUUCUUUAUUUUGUUUAAGCAUCGGACAUCCUCUGCGUAUACGGGAGUAUCGACCUGGAUGUUGUUGCCUAAACGUUCUGCUUUAUUUUCUUUGGUGUUUCGUUUAAGCUUUGGACCUCCUCUGCGUAUACGGAAGUAUCGACCUGGUGGUUAAAGCCUAAACAACUUCAACUUGUUUUAUUUUCUUAUUUUGUUUAAACAUUGGACUUUCUCUGCGUAUACGGAAGUAUCGACCUGAUUGCAUUACUCGAGUUAGUGUAUUGCAUGAUGAGGGGAUAUGCUGAGAUCAUGGGAUCCAUAAGAAUUUUAGUGCAAAAUUAAUAUACCU
rnacentral:lncRNA from 1 species